rnacentral:rRNA from 1 species
CCUACGGGGUGCUGCAGUGGGGAAUAUUGGACAAUGGGCGAAAGCCUGAUCCAGCCAUGCCGCGUGUGUGAAGAAGGCCUUCGGGUUGUAAAGCACUUUCAGUGGGGAAGAAAGCCUUGGGGCUAAUACCCUCGAGGAAGGACAUCACCCACAGAAGAAGCACCGGCUAACUCCGUGCCAGCAGCCGCGGUAAUACGGAGGGUGCGGGCGUUAAUCGGAAUUACUGGGCGUAAAGCGCGCGUAGGCGGUCUGAUAAGCCGGUUGUGAAAGCCCCGGGCUCAACCUGGGAACGGCAUCCGGAACUGUCAGGCUAGAGUGCAGGAGAGGAAGGUAGAAUUCCCGGUGUAGCGGUGAAAUGCGUAGAGAUCGGGAGGAAUACCAGUGGCGAAGGCGGCCUUCUGGACUGACACUGACGCUGAGGUGCGAAAGCGUGGGUAGCAAACAGGAUUAGAUACCCGGGUAGUC